rnacentral:rRNA from 1 species
UAUGAGAGUUUGAUCCUGGCUCAGGAUGAACGCUGGCGGUGUGCCUAAUACAUGCAAGUCGAACGCGUUGGCCCAAUUGAUUGAUGGUGCUUGCACCUGAUUGAUUUUGGUCGCCAACGAGUGGCGGACGGGUGAGUAACACGUAGGUAACCUGCCCAGAAGCGGGGGACAACAUUUGGAAACAGAUGCUAAUACCGCAUAACAGCGUUGUUCGCAUGAACAACGCUUAAAAGAUGGCUUCUCGCUAUCACUUCUGGAUGGACCUGCGGUGCAUUAGCUUGUUGGUGGGGUAACGGCCUACCAAGGCGAUGAUGCAUAGCCGAGUUGAGAGACUGAUCGGCCACAAUGGGACUGAGACACGGCCCAUACUCCUACGGGAGGCAGCAGUAGGGAAUCUUCCACAAUGGGCGCAAGCCUGAUGGAGCAACACCGCGUGAGUGAAGAAGGGUUUCGGCUCGUAAAGCUCUGUUGUUAAAGAAGAACACGUAUGAGAGUAACUGUUCAUACGUUGACGGUAUUUAACCAGAAAGUCACGGCUAACUACGUGCCAGCAGCCGCGGUAAUACGUAGGUGGCAAGCGUUAUCCGGAUUUAUUGGGCGUAAAGAGAGUGCAGGCGGUUUUCUAAGUCUGAUGUGAAAGCCUUCGGCUUAACCGGAGAAGUGCAUCGGAAACUGGAUAACUUGAGUGCAGAAGAGGGUAGUGGAACUCCAUGUGUAGCGGUGGAAUGCGUAGAUAUAUGGAAGAACACCAGUGGCGAAGGCGGCUACCUGGUCUGCAACUGACGCUGAGACUCGAAAGCAUGGGUAGCGAACAGGAUUAGAUACCCUGGUAGUCCAUGCCGUAAACGAUGAGUGCUAGGUGUUGGAGGGUUUCCGCCCUUCAGUGCCGGAGCUAACGCAUUAAGCACUCCGCCUGGGGAGUACGACCGCAAGGUUGAAACUCAAAGGAAUUGACGGGGGCCCGCACAAGCGGUGGAGCAUGUGGUUUAAUUCGAAGCUACGCGAAGAACCUUACCAGGUCUUGACAUCUUGCGCCAACCCUAGAGAUAGGGCGUUUCCUUCGGGAACGCAAUGACAGGUGGUGCAUGGUCGUCGUCAGCUCGUGUCGUGAGAUGUUGGGUUAAGUCCCGCAACGAGCGCAACCCUUGUUACUAGUUGCCAGCAUUAAGUUGGGCACUCUAGUGAGACUGCCGGUGACAAACCGGAGGAAGGUGGGGACGACGUCAGAUCAUCAUGCCCCUUAUGACCUGGGCUACACACGUGCUACAAUGGACGGUACAACGAGUCGCGAACUCGCGAGGGCAAGCAAAUCUCUUAAAACCGUUCUCAGUUCGGACUGCAGGCUGCAACUCGCCUGCACGAAGUCGGAAUCGCUAGUAAUCGCGGAUCAGCAUGCCGCGGUGAAUACGUUCCCGGGCCUUGUACACACCGCCCGUCACACCAUGAGAGUUUGUAACACCCAAAGUCGGUGGGGUAACCUUUUAGGAGCCAGCCGCCUAAGGUGGGACAGAUGAUUAGGGUGAAGUCGUAACAAGGUAGCCGUAGGAGAACCUGCGGCUGGAUCACCUCCUU